GGUUGAGGCGGAAGAAGAAGAUCUGGAUGAGCUGCGCCUUGGCCAGGCCCAGGACGAGGAUGCCCGGCAGCUGAUGCCCCACAGGGCCAUGAAGCCCACGGUGUCCACGAGGAUCAUGACGAUGGAGAACAGGUUGAGGAGGCCGGAGCGCAGGUCCAUGCCCAGCAGCAGGCAGCAGACGGCGAACGUGGGCAGCAGGCACAUGGCAAGCAUGAAGAGGCCUUCGGGGACCACCGUCAGGCAUACAGGCGGCAGCAAGAGGACGGGGUCAGCCAGUCAAUGAAGUCAUCCACCCAGGAAGAGGCAGGGAUGGCCAGGAGAAGCUGUCGCAUCCUGCGCUCGAGCAAAUGGCAUUCAUUCCCGCCUCCGUGGAGAAGUUGUAGCCUCCAGUGGUGACGAAGUAGACUGGAGCCCCCACCUCAAAGUAGCGGUUCAGAAAGAGGAAAUAGUCGAGCAGCACAGCCCACAGGCGUGUGCACGUGGAGACAGGCGGUGUGUCAGGCACCUGCAUGGCCUGUUCCUUUCUCCCAAAACCUCUGAGCUCUGGAAGAGAAGACGGAGUACGAGAAGCCAGGAGUCCACCCCCGCCCCCAACCUAGACACAACUGCACAACCCGUCUGAUGGGGUUUGCAGCCCUGGGGGCAGUUGAGGGCUCGCAGCUUCCAGGGAAAGGCCUGGAUGGUGAACUGUGCUUCGUGUCUACACCUUCAGCUCCCAGCACAUGCAGGUGUCCCAGGGGCAGUUUGUAUACCGCUUGCGGAGUCCAGCGUGGGACAUAAGGACCCCACACUCUAUACAUGGCGGAUUUGCGUUCUGAUUGCCGGUCACUGAGCUUCUGAUCUCGGUGGUGCAGAGUCAGGCUGUACCGUGGUCUCUCCCGCCUCCAGCUGGCCCGACUGCCAGGAUAUUUAAAUGGCAAGUGACUGGCUUAUUUUCCGCUUCAUGUUUCCCCUUUUUCUCCUUUGGGGAGCCAGCCAUUUAAGGAAUAGGACAUUCAAACACAAAUACUGAAGUCACCGCACAUUACCAGGGAAAGGCACAGGCUCAUCAGACUUUAAUUUUAUACCACAGGCUAAUCUCCCAGACACAGACACAGCAACGUCACAUUUGGG